UUAGUUAGUUUUAACUAACUUGACAUGUUGACCUGUUCUCUAGGGUUAUGCACUAAUUGAAUAUGAGAACUUUGAGGAAGCACAGAAAGCUAUAAGUGAAAUGGAUGGGACGGAACUGCUCACCCAGGCCAUAACUGUUGAUUGGGCAUUCAGCAAAGGUCCGUUCAGGAGCAGGAAUAUGAGGAGGAGAUCACCUCGCGGCCAUCGUUCUAGAAGUCCUAGGAGGAGAUUCUAAUGGUGUUAGCGGCUUCUCAAGGAUAGUGGAUUUCUAGUGUCUAGAAACAGUUCUGAUAGUUGUGGAUCAAUGCUAAAAUUUAACCAUGUAUUGUUGUUUUUGACAAGGAUUUGUAUUUCCUUUCUCCAUGAUAUUUAUAACUUAUCUUCGAUUAUAUGUUACUGCUAAUGGAUUGUCAAGUAUUUGCUCUUUACAUUGAGCUUUUGAUUCGGAUGGGAGCCUGGUGUGGCGUAAAGCAUGUAUUCUGUUCA